UAUGAACAGUACCCGUCUCUCCCUGGCACAUAUCUGUUGGGCCGCACAAUAUACACAAAAGACACACGUCCUCUUCUAUCCCUCCCCAACCUCCUCUCAUCAGUUUUUCACUUUCAAAUUCAUCAGAGAGACAGAACCGUUUGAAGGAGCCGGAGAGCAGUACGGGAGAAUGAGAGAAGGAGAUCCGGAGCCGGCGACCGGCGACCGGACCUCGGCGCGUGCUUGCCUCCUACCCACAGAUUCCAAGAUAUAGAAACCGGCAGCAGUGAUCUCUUUUUAGGAAAGACUUCGGUGGGGUGACGUGCUAUAGUGGAGGCAGGUGACGGUGGUUACGGCGGUGGCUUUCGUCUCCGGAAACGCGAGAAAGGGGCGUCAAUGGUGUUAUUUGUGGUUUGAGAGGGGGGGAUCGGGGUGGCUAUGGUGGCAAUAGCGUGCGACGAGUACUGUAAUUGUGGCCAGAGAAAGAGAGUGGGCUGCCCCACCAGCGUCACCGCCACCUCCAUCACCAUCGCCACAGCUGCCAUAUCUCCGACUGCAACCUUGACGGUGGUGUUGCUACAUGAGUAAUGACAGUGAAGAUUGAGGGUUUAAAGGGAGAGUAGGUCGACGGCUAAAUCAAUGAACCCUAAAUCGAUAAUCAGCCUCAUCUCACUAAAUUUCGAUUUGCUUGCUGUUCUUCAAUCAAUCACCGAUAGGAACUCUUUACAGUUGUUUUUUGCCCAGGAAAGCUUCAAGUUUUUGACAGUUUUUUUGACCAUUUGCACUCACUACGCUCCUGUUAGCCAAGAGCUCUUAAAUUCCCCUGCAACUUUUAGAGGUAUAGCGAAGAGAAGGACCAUUAAGAACGACAACUAAAGCUCAAAUGCGGAUUGAAGGAGCAUAUAGGAUGAUUUUGGAGAUUAAGGGUUUGGACGACAGUUUCAAGAUAUGCUGGGAGUUCAUCAAUUAAUCUAUGGCAAAUCACAUGGGAGAGCCACUGUUAGAAUAUCUAACUCAGAAAGAAACAGAGGUAAAGCUUCCCCGACCAAAUAGGUUAAGAACAAAACCCCAGCCCUGAUACAAAUCACUGCCUAACAGAGUCUGCCUGAAGCAAGGGAAUGCCAAGAAGCUGAAGCCCGACCAACAAAACUGAUUAUCACCGCUUAUUAGGAGAGUAAGGUGGAACAAAAGUGUGUGGAUGAAGUAUGCUAAGAAGGAUUUCAAUGGUGCUAGGAGUGUUUGGGAGCGUGCACUUGAUGUCAAUUGAAGCAACUAAAGGUGGUGUUACACAACAUGUCCAAGAUGUGGUCAAUACUAGAGGUCGAUAUUGAGUGGAUUUGUACGCGUGACGGCAUAGAAAAAGCAAAAACAAUGCAAGUUACACACCAUUUAAAUCCAUUAUCCAAAUCGAUAUUGAAUACGCUGACACAUACAUGUACAGGUACCGAAUCAUUGCGACAAUCACGAAUAGCACGGGAAGCAUGUCGACAGUUAUUUUCGACGGUGUAGGGACACAGCUGUUAGCAAUGACAUGCAAUGACUUGGCUGCGACUGAGGACCCCAUGAAAAAGUUGUACUCGGUUAUGGAAAAGGAAGCAUUCAUGAUUAUCCAGCUACUAUCCGACAAAAAAAAUGUGCACAUUAAAAUGAUCUGUUGUCAACAAAGCAGCGCAUUGUGCCAGCUUGGUCAAAAAUGUAGUCAAUGGUCGUAUGCUAUAUGCUGAUAAUAGUAACACGUAUGCCUGAACAUACCAUAUUUUGUACGCUACAUCUGUUAAUAGCAGUGUCAUAACUUGAUGACAGUUACUUAUGAACA